AAAUUAAUUUAAUGUACUUAUCAACUUUAUGUUUUUAAUAUAUUGGUUAUAAAAUUGUAUUUUUAAUGAGUACUUACAGUUUCUUAAAAAGUAUUACGAAUACUGAACCAAAGUUUCAAUAUUAAAUCACAGUAAACGUGUCUUAUACAAGUAAGUAACAUAUAUAUAUAAAUGUAUUAUUUAAAAUUAAAUUUAACUAUACAUUAGUAAGAAUUGUGAACAAUUAUAAUCCA